ACGGGGCAGUGGCCCAACCCACAUGCAGUAGGCUUUGUACUUUGAGUUAUUUUUUAAACCAUUAGUGGGGUAGGUUUAUAUUCCAUCCACCCACAUUAUGUCAUCCAGCCUUCCAUGGGACAAGUGGCACCAACUGUGGCCAGGAGGUAUCAGCAAUGCACUUAGUUACAAUGAGGUCUUGGAGAGCCUACAACAGGGACGUCAUCUGAUACACAGACUGGUCACAGCUGAAAAUCCAGGCAUUUCCAGAGCCCUGCAUGGAUUCUACCUAGACUUCCAGGCAGCCGCAAUCACCUUUGGAGAGGACCUCCUGUGGGCCUCACAGAAGAGGCAAACUGCCGUGAAUUCUAUUGCUGCAAGGAAAUGACUUCUGCCAACACCCGUGGGAGCUUGGAAGAGAACCUGAGCUUCAUAUGGAUGGCAGUACCAGCUGACACCUUACCGCCGCCUGAUGACAAAAGUGAAGCUCUGAGAGGUUAAGCAAAACAUAACCGAAGACACAGGGCUGAGGCUGGGAAGGCGUUAGUGCUCUCUCUGUUCUUUCAAACCUGACAAAUGAACAAGUACAGAAGCUCCAACAGGCACCGCAGCCCGGCAAAGCCCAGGGCCUCUCCCUGAGCCCCUGGGGUAGGUGAAGAGGCUCCUGUCCCAAGAUAAUGACCUGUCUUCUGUUUCACUGUGAAUGCCAUAGGUGUCCGACCAUGGUUGUCACUAAUGUUUCCAUCAUCUGGCUUUUCAUAGUCAUUCUGUAUAAAUGCUACUAUGAAGACAUCCUAUUCACUGAAUCCUUUACUAACCAUAAUUUUCAUCCAAGAGUGUGUGUGACUUAAUUGAAGAAGAAAGAAAACAGCUUUACAGAGAAGGACCUCUUCCGAGAGCCUGUUGGGGUCACCACAGAGGUGGAGAAUAAAAUUAAGGAAAUCUGCUAAAUGA